CAGGUGUAGCAAUACAUGCUGACGAGCGGCGGACGGGUGAGUAACGCUUGGGAAUCUGCCUAUUAGUGGGGGACAACCCGGGGAAACUCGGGCUAAUACCGCAUACGCACUACGGUGGAAAGCCGGGGACCGCAAGGCCUGGCGCUAAUAGAUGAGCCCAAGUCGGAUUAGCUAGUUGGUGGGGUAAAGGCCUACCAAGGCGACGAUCCGUAACUGGUCUGAGAGGACGACCAGUCACACCGGAACUGAGACACGGUCCGGACUCCUACGGGAGGCAGCAGUGGGGAAUAUUGGACAAUGGGCGAAAGCCUGAUCCAGCGACGCCGCGUGGGUGAAGAAGGCCUGCGGG
rnacentral:rRNA from 1 species